GUGUAAAGGCACAAGGGAGCUUGACUGCGAGACUUACAAGUCGAGCAGGGUCGAAAGACGGACUUAGUGAUCCGGUGGUUCCGCAUGGAAGGGCCAUCGCUCAACGGAUAAAAGCUACCCCGGGGAUAACAGGCUUAUCUCCCCCAAGAGUUCACAUCGACGGGGAGGUUUGGCACCUCGAUGUCGGCUCAUCGCAUCCUGGGGCUGUAGUCGGUCCCAAGGGUUGGGCUGUUCGCCCAUUAAAGCGGUACGCGAGCUGGGUUCAGAACGUCGUGAGACAGUUCGGUCCCUAUCCGUCGUGGGCGUAGGAAAUUUGAGAGGAGCUGUCCUUAGUACGAGAGGACCGGGAUGGACAUACCUCUGGUGUACCAGUUGUCGCGCCAGCGGCAUAGCUGGGUAGCUAUGUAUGGACGGGAUAAGUGCUGAAAGCAUCUAAGCAUGAAGCCCCCCUCAAGAUGAGAUUUCCCAACUUCGGUUAUAAGAUCCCUCAAAGAUGAUGAGGUUAAUAGGUUCGGGGUGUAAGCGCAGUAAUGUGUGUAGCUGACGAAUACUAAUCGAUCGAAGACUUAAUCAAAA
rnacentral:rRNA from 2 species